GUGCGUGCUGGGCAGACAGACGUCUUUAAGUUUGACCUCAAAUCAGGUAGGGUUACCCGCUGAACUUAAGCAUAUCAAUAAGCGGAGGAAAAGAAACCAACUGGGAUUGCCUUAGUAACGGCGAGUGAAGCGGCAAAAGCUCAAAUUUGAAAUCUGGUACCUUUGGUGCCCGAGUUGUAAUUUGGAGAGUACCACUUUGGGACUGUACUUUGCCUAUGUUCCUUGGAACAGGACGUCAUGGAGGGUGAGAAUCCCGUGUGGCGAGGGUGUCAGUUCUUUGUAAAGGGUGCUCGAAGAGUCGAGUUGUUUGGGAAUGCAGCUCUAAGUGGGUGGUAAAUUCCAUCUAAAGCUAAAUACAGGCGAGAGACCGAUAGCGAACAAGUACAGUGAUGGAAAGAUGAAAAGAACUUUGAAAAGAGAGUGAAAAAGUACGUGAAAUUGUUGAAAGGGAAGGGCAUUUGAUCAGACAUGGUGUUUUGCGCCCCUUGCCUCUCGUGGGCUUGGGACUCUCGCAGCUCACUGGGCCAGCAUCGGUUUUGGCGGCCGGAAAAAACCUAGGGAAUGUGGCUCUGCGCCUCGGUGUAGAGUGUUAUAGCCCUGGGGAAUACGGCCAGCCGGGACCGAGGACUGCGAUACUUGUUAUCUAGGAUGCUGGCAUAAUGGUUAUAUGCCGCCCGUCUUGAAACACGGACCAAGGAGUCUAGCGUCUA
rnacentral:rRNA from 1 species